CGAAGGAUGCAAGCGUUAUCCGGAUUUAUUGGGUUUAAAGGGAGCGUAGGCGGUCUUAUAAGUCAGUGGUGAAAUCUCGUUGCUUAACAACGAACGUGCCAUUGAUACUGUAGGACUUGAGUACAGUUGCCGUUGGCGGAAUGUGUCAUGUAGCGGUGAAAUGCAUAGAUAUGACACAGAACACCGAUUGCGAAGGCAGCUGACGAAACUGUAACUGACGCUGAGGCUCGAAAGCGUGGGGAUCAAACAGGAUUAGAUACCCUGGUAGUCCACGCCCUAAACUAUGAUUACUCGCUGUCGGCGAUAUACAGUCGGUAGCUAAGCGAAAGCGUUAAGUAAUCCACCUGGGGAGUACGCUCGCAAGGGUG
rnacentral:rRNA from 1 species